GCAGCAGAUUACGCUCGUCUAGGAACGGCAUUUAGGACUGCAGCUGAGCUGAGGCCGACGCUGGAUCCUUGAGUCAGAACUCGAAUCGGGAGCGGAGUACGCCUCUAAAGUCACGGUGUGGGAAUUGGAGUUUUUUGGAGUCGCCACCUUUCACUUCUCACGGACAUCUGCACUGUGUGGGAUUCAGGGAGAAUCACCACGGGACCACAGUGCUGGGAUUUUGUAUAUAGUUGUGUGUUUUUCACCUCCUGUAAAUAAAUCCACUGUCCUUCACUUAGAGUCUCGCGUUUGGGCCCUGCUUUCACUGUCACUCCACGGUCUGCCAUCGCAGCCCGUGACA